rnacentral:rRNA from 1 species
UACGGGGGGGGCAAGCGUUGUUCGGAAUUACUGGGCGUAAAGGGCUCGUAGGUGGCCAACUAAGUCAUACGUGAAAUCCCUCGGCUUAACCGGGGAACUGCGUCUGAUACUGGAUGGCUUGAGGUUGGGAGAGGGAUGCGGAAUUCCAGGUGUAGCGGUGAAAUGCGUAGAUAUCGGGAGGAACACCUGCGGUGUAGACGGCUUACUGGACCGUAACUGACGCUGAGGCACGAAAGCGUGGGUAGCAAACAGG